rnacentral:lncRNA from 1 species
GCUCGAUUGUCUUGCCUAGAUUGUAGGAUAGUUGGUUGGCAUAGUAUCAUCGUCCAUGUUUGAAAAAGUAAAUUUUUAGUCUAAAAGAUCAACCAAAUGAAAUAAGUAUCUCUUGAUCCCAAAUUUGAGCCUAAAGUGACCUAUUUUCUUGUUUAACCUAUUAACCACCCUUUUUAAUUACAAUGAAACUGUUUUAGCCC